AAACCUUAUGAGAUCGUAUUAUAAAAAUAGUGACAUGUAUAUUGCAUGAAAAUAAACAUAUUUAAUUAUUCAAUCAUCACAAUCUUCCGUGUCUUAUAUAAUUAUACCGGUGAUAGCUAAUUAAACGUGGCAAAUGUUAUUAAUUGCACGUUGCACGGAGACGUGUACAUCUACGUACACGCGUAGCAACAAAAUCGGUUGAAAGUCACGCAAAAUCGUCACGGUGCACGGUAAUCUCAAGUAUCAGUGUACGUGGACAUUCCCGUGAGGAAUCGUGGAAAAUAAUCUAGUUUUCCACCUAGAUAUCAUCAAAGGUAAACGGAUGCGUGAAUGAGGUAAUUUACAGGUGCGAAAUAAAACUAGGACGUACUGCGUGAGAUAUAGAGAUUUUAAAACGCUUGGAGCUUGUUGCGAGUUCUUUUAAACUACGAUAUCGCCUGCGGCGCCCUUUUUUCUCGCCUGUUAUCAUGCCUCGUAGCUUUUGUUACUUUUUCAAAGACGGUACGGUGUGCGUUAUUCAGGAAAUGGCAAUAAAAGGAGCGCGUUGAUUUCGAUAGAAUGGGUGCGCGAUGUCUGUCUGAAAACGAAACAAGGACGCGAUAGAGCCGGCUAGAAAAAGUUCUAAUACGGCGCAGCUGACGUUGGCCUUUAUUUGGCCAACCUUACAAAGUCUGUGCACGGUUCUAAGUAUGAUAAUAGGAAAAACGUGGUUCUCUUAGCGCCCUUUGUCUAAUCAUCCGAGCAGUCGAACUCGCGCUCGUGCAAUUUCUUCCCCUCUAGCGACAAUGUUAAUUUUAAAGGACUCGGUACGCGUUUUAUUAGAUUUUGUACGUCAAUAAGAACGCGCAGUGGCUGGUGAAAUUUAUUUUUAUGAAUGAUGUAUUAGGAAUAUGUUGAAAAUUUGUAUGAAUAUAUAAUGUUACACGAGACAAUUUGAAUUUCAUUAACACUGCAACGAGCAGUAGUUGCAAUGCGGAUUUUCAUCCGUUUAUGGAAUAUUUUGAAGACAAAAAAGCACAUGAUAUAUGAAAAUCCAUAAAACGAGAUAUAAUACUCAUUAUGGUUUCCAACAGACCGAACGAAUUUCAAUUUGUUUCAUUUCUUUAAUUGUACCCGUGAAAACAUAAUAUUAGUAUCUGUAAUUCUAUUGGUAUAAUUCGAAAAUGUAGGUAUAGUUUAUAUUUAUUAUUAUUUGUUAUUAUAUACAAUUUAUUUUGUGCAAACAUAUAUUUAGCAAGAAAUUUGCUUUACACGAAUGUAGACAUAACGAAGACUGUUUACUUGAAAUUAACUUAAAAUAAGUUAAGAGCAAGAUUAUAAUCCAACUAAGACUAUAUGAGAAUACGAAAAAUUAGAACGUAAACGAGAUUAUGUAGACUGUAGCAACUGCAUAAGAUGAUUUUUCUAGACACAUUAGACCAUAAGGACGUAUCUUAAACUCUUGAUAUUAACGGCGAUAGUUAAUUGUAGAGAAAAUUACAGGCUGCGCGGUUCUUCGAAAAAGUAGAGCACCGUCAAUUUACGGCGUAAGACGUUACCUUUUGUACGCAAAUAAAAGUAGAUCUCUUGCGUCGCGUUUCUUAAGUUUAAAUAAAAUCUCCAGAGUAUUAAAGUCGAAGUCGGCGUGCGCAUUUGCGCCGCUCUAUUUCAUUAUUAAAUCCUCCGGUGUAAUACAAGAGAAUAUUUACAUUCAUGAUACAAGCGUCGAGCCAGUUUCGAUCGAAAACACGAUUUAGUUGCUUCACCUUUUCGAAAAAUACGAACUAUAUUUUAAAAAAGGGAAAGGGGAUAAGCGUUAGGACGACAGUUUUAAAAUCGAGCAAAGUUUUCAGCGCGUAGAUUACGUACACGAUGCUGUGUCAGAGAUGGAAUGGUUAAAAAUGAGAAAAUGUCAUUGACGUUGAGAAACUUAUUGAUGACGCAGUUUGCAUCUCGUAUCAAACGUCCCACGUCAGAUCGUUAGUCCCAACGUGCGACGUAAUUCCGCUAAGCCUGACCUACCACGAGAUAGGCAGAUAUUUCUAAAAGCAGUGAAUGAACGAUCGAUAAGGUGGGCUGACGGGUUGAAAGAUCCAGUGAUUCCGAAAAUUGCUAAAGGAAGAAAGUUAAAUCAAGCUGAAGCGGUAAGCCUGGUCUCAUCCUUUCUUAUUAAACCUAUGGAACAUGUAUAAACCGCACCUAACGAUUCGAAAUUCGAUAUAUGUAGCAGCUUUAAAAUUUAAAGCCAGCCAAUCUACGAGACGCUAUUAACAACGCUUCUUGUUACAAGUUAUGCCUCUAUUUCCUCUGUAGCCUUUUUCUUGUUACUUUUUGCUAUUUGAUAAUAUAUUCUUGCAACUUUCGUUCUAUGCAGCUUCGUAGGAUAGAAACAAGACUGUAAUUGAAUAAAUCAAAUUUUGGUAAAUGCUGGUACAAGUAAGGAAUUGUUAAGGAAGAAAGAUGAAGUGAGACUCUUAAACGUCGUUAAAAUAAAAGCUACAUCGUUUAACGUCCUAUUGCCACGGAAUUUCCUUUAUUUUUGGGAUAAAGGAACAGAAUCGAUUGAAACCUUUCACUUUAAUCUGAAAUUAGUAGUUCCAAAAUCCAAUGAAUAUGUCCAUAUAAAAUAGAACGAUAUAGCGACAGUUGGAAAAAAUUUUCAAAAUGUAAUUUUCAAAAUGUAACGUAACGUUAUAGAGGGCUAAAGAUAAAGUAAAAGAUUAUAACGAUAGUAUUUCUGUAAAAUAUGAAAAUUCCAAGAAACGCGAGAUUAAUAAAAGUUCCCCUCUUUGAAAUAUGAUUUCCAAAUAAAAGCGUAUUUAAAACUGUGAGCUUAAUUAUCGCAGGAUUUAUGUAUUAAAAAAUCUUUUAUUAUUGAUAUUGCAUUAAAAUUGUUCUCUGGAAUAUUACGAAGCUUAAAAACAAUACAUUGAUCUAUAUGGAAGAUAUGGAAGAUUAUUACCACAUUUAGCAACGAUAUUUGAAAUUCGUUUCGCGCAAGAACGUGUAAUAUAUGUAUAAUUCAUGAUUAAUCGGAUUCACGAAAUCGAUGAUCAGAAUCCUAUCUCAUUUUCCUUUGCGACACGUAACGCUAAAUAUACCACCGAUCGUAAUCGGAUCCGUACGAUCAAAUGAAUCAGUUUCUCUUUUUUCAUAUCUGAUUCAACAUAAUACUCUUUUCUGUUAAAAGAAGAGGAAAAUUUAUAUACAAGUUUCGAGAAUUAUGUAAACAGAAUCGAGACACCGAUGAAUCGACGACUAUAGUAGAAUCUCAAGUAGAAUUCCUAAAAAUAAACCAGAAAUUCAUCGUUCGUAACACGCCUACUUGGAAAUCUCACCGACCACCCAUCCUCUAUCUAUUUUAUUAAUUUUCCAUUCCCUGUUUUCCCGGUUUAACGCGAAAGCAGAUAAGAGCCAAGGGCUAUAAAAGUGUCUCGUUCAAAAUCAAAGCUCUCUGAUAUUUUCUCAAUAUAUGUAUAGAGUACGUAUGUAUGUAUAUGUGUAUAGUGGUUGCUGUUGAAUUGGCAGGCUGUAUUUCUCUGCGGCAUGUUAUCGAAAGUAAAACAGCGUGUAAAUUCGCAGAAAUAUGUAUGUAUCGUAAAUUCUUUUAUGCCGUAAGUAAAAGUUGUCCCAUUACUGCGUAUAUUGUAAGUUAAAAGUCGUAGUAUUUUUAUUAGACGUUUCUUCAAUUUGUAUCAAUCAUGAACGCGUAUUUUGCAUCUAAGGUACAUUCAAACGAUCAAUACUGUUGCCAAUAUUAAUUAUUUAUUUACGAGUUUGGUUUAAGGUGUUUCCAGUGACCAUAAAGUCACCAACGACUGCCAAACAAAAUGAAAAGAAAAAAAAACAUCGUUUUUAAUUACUUGCUUGAAACAUUGAAUAAUAUUCAGUUACAUGGAAUCGAGUAGAUUUAUUUGUUUAAAAAUCUCUAACGCGUCAAGAAUGCUUUGAGAAUCGUUCAGAUCAGAUCUGAUUUCGGCUUUGACAUUAAAAUAUGCUACAUGGUAAUGACGAUGUUGGCGAUCCAAUCAGAACAACAUCAAAAUCCAACGAGAAAUCAGGACGUGAUUGUUUUGUUAUUAAAUGUUCAUGGGUUAGUCUACAACGUGAUAAUCCGGGUAAGGGUAGCUUUAUUUUUUCUGGUUUGUGUUGGAACGUUCGGUUCUUACGGUCUUGUCAAUAUUAUUGUCAAUAUUGAAGGAUGUCAACAUUGUCGUACGUAAGAGAUCCUCUAGCCGAUCAAUGGGCCGAGUUUAAACCGAGCUCAUUUGAAUGCUUUAAAGCAUGUUUAUUUUUAUUCUCGUAUUAAUUUUAAUAACUCAUUUUAAUAUUCAGGUGGAGCCAACAGACGCAGAGACAGCGUCGUCUGUGGACGUACCUUAUCUGAUAAGUUCACGUUAAGGAACAACACGUUAAGAAAAUAAUAAUCAAUUACUUAAUUUAGGUAACAAAUAAGAAGGUAAACUCGACUGAAAUUGGAAACGAAUUGCAGAACCUUCGUAUUGAGAAAGAAAUAUCGUUAAAAGUAAACAUCAGAAUAUGGGAGACGAUGGCGAUGUGGUCAACGUAGCUGGCUACAAAAAUGCCAGGACUCUGGUUCGAAUCCUCGCCUGUGUGUUGUAAAUUCUGUCUCCAAUUUUUCGGGAUGUCUCUUGCUUACUUGAACAAAGCUCAGCUCGGGAUGAGAGGAGGAAAAAAAGGGGAGGAGGAGAACCAAUCGCAGACCAAAAAAAAAAAAAAACAA